rnacentral:piRNA from 1 species
UAAAGACUUUGCUUGGCUUAAACGUGUGCC